rnacentral:rRNA from 1 species
GACGGAGGGGGCAAGCGUUGUCCGGACUCACUGGGCGUAAAGGGUGCGUAGGCGGUCUCGCAAGUCUGGCGUGAAAGCCCAAGGCUCAGCCUUGGAAGUGCGCUCGAAACGGCGAGGCUGGAGUGCCGGAGGGGAGAGUGGAAUUCCCGGUGUAGCGGUGAAAUUCGUAGAUAUUCGGAAGAACACCAGUGGCGAAGGCGACUGACUGGACAGAUAUUGACGCUGAGGUGCGAAAGCGUGGGGAGCAAACAGG